UCGUAGUUGAACUUUGGGCCUGGUUGGCCGGUCUGGCUUUUUGCCACGUACUGGAAUGCAACCGGGCCUUUCCUUCUGGCUAACCUUGGGCUCCUUGUGGGUCCUUGGCGAACCAGGACUUUUACUUUGAAAAAAUUAGAGUGUUCAAAGCAGGCGUAUUGCUCGAAUAUAUUAGCAUGGAAUAAUGGAAUAGGACGUUUGGUUCUAUUUUGUUGGUCUCUAGGACCAUCGUAAUGAUUAAUAGGGACGGUCGGGGGCAUCAGUAUUCAAUUGUCAGAGGUGAAAUUCUUGGAUUUAUUGAAGACUAACUACUGCGAAAGCAUUUGCCAAGGACGUUUUCAUUAAUCAAGAACGAAAGUUAGGGGAUCGAAGAUGAUCAGAUACCGUCGUAGUCUUAACCAUAAACUAUGCCGACUAGGGAUCGGGUGGUGUUUUUUUAAUGACCCACUCGGCACCUUACGAGAAAUCAAAGUCUUUGGGUUCUGGGGGGAGUAUGGCCGCAAGGCUGAAACUUAAAGGAAUUGACGGAAGGGCACCACCAGGAGUGGAGCCUGCGGCUUAAUUUGACUCAACACGGGGAAACUCACCAGGUCCAGACACAAUAAGGAUUGACAGAUUGAGAGCUCUUUCUUGAUUUUGUGGGUGGUGGUGCAUGGCCGUUCUUAGUUGGUGGAGUGAUUUGUCUGCUUAAUUGCGAUAACGAACGAGACCUUAACCUACUAAAUAGUGGUGCUAGCAUUUGCUGGUUCUUCCACUUCUUAGAGGGACUAUCGAUUUCAAGUCGAUGGAAGUUUGAGGCAAUAACAGGUCUGUGAUGCCCUUAGACGUUCUGGGCCGCACGCGCGCUACACUGACGGAGCCAGCGAGUCUAACCUAGGCCGAGAGGUCCUGGUAAUCUUGUGAAACUCCGUCGUGCUGGGGAUAGAGCUUUGUAAUUUUUGCUCUUCAACGAGGAAUUCCUAGUAAGCGCAAGUCAUCAGCUUGCGUUGAUUACGUCCCUGCCCUUGUACACACCGCCC
rnacentral:rRNA from 1 species